AUUGAACGCUGGCGGCAUGCUUUACACAUGCAAGUCGAACGGUAACAGGCCGCAAGGUGCUGACGAGUGGCGAACGGGUGAGUAAUGCAUCGGAACGUGCCCAGUCGUGGGGGAUAACGCAGCGAAAGCUGCGCUAAUACCGCAUACGAUCUAUGGAUGACAGCGGGGGACCGUAAGGCCUCGCGCGAUUGGAGCGGCCGAUGUCAGAUUAGGUAGUUGGUGGGGUAAAGGCUCACCAAGCCAACGAUCUGUAGCUGGUCUGAGAGGACGACCAGCCACACUGGGACUGAGACACGGCCCAGACUCCUACGGGAGGCAGCAGUGGGGAAUUUUGGACAAUGGGCGCAAGCCUGAUCCAGCAAUGCCGCGUGCAGGAAGAAGGCCUUCGGGUUGUAAACUGCUUUUGUACGGAACGAAACGGUCCUGGUUAAUACCUGGGGCUAAUGACGGUACCGUAAGAAUAAGCACCGGCUAACUACGUGCCGGCAGCCGCGGUAAUAC
rnacentral:rRNA from 1 species